rnacentral:ncRNA from 1 species
UGGUCCUGAUCUUAUAAUCAAUUAUCACUUAACUUACACAUGCAAGUCUCAGCACUCCUGUGAGAAUGCCCUAAAAUUUCCCCCGAAAUAAGGAGCCGGUAUCAGGCACAUCCUAUAGCCCAAAACACCUAGCUACGCCACAUCCUCAAGGAACCUCAGCAGUGAUUAAUAUUGAACAUAUGCGACAGCCAGAUUCAGUUAAAGUGAGUAGAGCCGGCAAAAUUGGUGCCAGCCGCCGCGGUUACACCAAUUGACUCAAAUUGAUUUUAUCCGGCGUAAAGCGUGAUUAAAGUUACUAAAAAUUAAAAUUAAACCUGCACUAAGCUGUAACACGCUUGUGACCGGGAGGCCCAAAAACUAAAGUCAUUUUAACUACUUCAACUUGAAUUCACGACAGUUAAGAAACAAACUGGGAUUAGAUACCCCACUAUGCUUAACCGUAAACUUUAAUUUACAACCCCUAACGCCAGAGAACUACGAGCAAAGCUUAAAACUCAAAGGACUUGACGGUACCCCACAUCCACCUAGAGGAGCCUGUCCUAUAAUCGACAAUCCCCGCUUAACCUCACCAUUUUUAGCUUAUCAGUCUGUAUACCUCCGUCGUCAGCUUACCACGUGAGCGAACCUCAGUAAGCUUAAUGCCAAUACGCCAAUACGUCAGGUCAAGGUGCAGCAAACAAAAUGUGAAAGAGAUGGGCUACACUCUCUACUCUAGAGAACACGAAAAACUACUUAUGAAACCUAGUUAGAAGGCGGAUUUAGCAGUAAAAAGAAACUAGAAAAUUCUUUUUAACUAGGCACUGGGGUGUGUACACACCGCCCGUCACCCUCUUCAAAGCUAUUUAAUAGUACUUAACUACCCUGCGCAUUCAAGAAGAGGUAAGUCGUAACAUGGUAAGCAUACCGGAAGGUGUGCUUGGAAA